GGCCCAAAUUUGAAGUAGAGUAGAUUAGUAGAAACAGCUGUCCCUGCUAAUCUGCUGCAUUUCAAGUUUGGGCCC
rfam:Haemonchus placei strain MHpl1 genome assembly, scaffold: HPLM_scaffold0000344